rnacentral:misc_RNA from 2 species
AACGCACAUUGCGCCUUUCGGUAUUCCGGAGGGCAUGCCUGUUCGAGAGUCAUUAACAACCAGUUCAAUCCCUUUUUAGAAGUAUUUGGCGGAUUGGUUAUUGGUGAAUGAGGGGAUCCGUGCAUAACGUUGAAUCACCUCACCACCGAAAUUCAGAGGCGGUUUGUCCCCACGUUUUUGUGGCGUUGUAAAAGCUUUACCAGCACUAUUCGCUCGCAUCGUGGGUCCACUGCUUGCCAUUGGAGAAAUCCCCAUUCAUCAAAGGUUGACCUCGGAUCAGGUAGGGAUACCCGCUGAACUUAA